GCCAGGAGCGUGGAAGAAGAUAGAAGAAGAGGCUGAGCCAGUGUCCAGUCUAUUAUAGAGAAGUGACCGCCUGGAUAGACCUCAGAGUGCUGCUCCUUCCUCAUCCUCAACAUUUUUAUCCAGAUACUGCUUAAUUAGUUUCUGGCCCUGGCCUAGAGGGUCUCUGUGCAUGGCUGUCCUGAACCAGUAAGAAAGCCUCUGUCAGAAGAUGCUGACUCAGCACCAUGGGAUUGUGCCCUAGUUGUCUGUUGGAUGUGGAUCACAGUCCUUAUAGACCUUUGUAGAUAGACUUCAUCAUCCAUCAUCCAGGGAAGCAACUUCUGUAGAGAAGGGGCCAACCAUCUCCAUCAACUACUGAAGAACUGUCACCUAAGAGGCAGCCAAACCAGCAGCCUACAUAAAGUAGCAUGGUACCCUGUGAGAAAGUCAGAAGGGAGCCUGUGCUAGGCAAAUGAAACCACUGCCAUCUUCUCAACCACCACCUCCCCUGUAGACCUUGAUGGAGAAAGCCUAGAUCCCUGAAUCUGAGUCUUGGGAGUGGCAGUACCCUCAGACCACUGGUCCUUCUUCCAGGAUUGGUCCCACAGCUAUCAUUCUGAGAAGAAAUCUCCUUGGAGAUACAGUCUGGCAACUGCUUCUGUUGGUACUGCAGCCAUAGCUACUGAAGACUUGGAAAAGAAAAUUCCACCUUAGCUUAACACUGCCAAAUGGCUCAACGUCAGAAACUGAUAUGUCUUUAUCAGUGGAAAUGAUAUGAAAUAAGAAGCACUACCACCUGCUUUUCCGCUAUUCCUUAAGGGACAUGGGACCUUUUCAUCUGGUUUGUAGCUGAAACUUUCUAUGUGUGAUGUCACCUCCACUCAAG